rnacentral:rRNA from 1 species
AGUGAACGCUGGCGGUAGGCCUAACACAUGCAAGUCGAACGGCAGCACAGUAAGAGCUUGCUCUUACGGGUGGCGAGUGGCGGACGGGUGAGGAAUACAUCGGAAUCUACUUUUUCGUGGGGGAUAACGUAGGGAAACUUACGCUAAUACCGCAUACGACCUACGGGUGAAAGCAGGGGAUCUUCGGACCUUGCGCGAUUGAAUGAGCCGAUGUCGGAUUAGCUAGUUGGCGGGGUAAAGGCCCACCAAGGCGACGAUCCGUAGCUGGUCUGAGAGGAUGAUAAGCCAAACUGGAACUGAGACACGGUCCAGACUCCUACGGGAGGCAGCAGUGGGGAAUAUUGGACAAAGGGCGCAAGCCUGAUCCAGCCAUACCGCGUGGGUGAAGAAGGCCUUCGGGUUGUAAAGCCCUUUUGUUGGGAAAGAAAAGCAGCAGGUUAAUACCCCGCUGUUCUGACGGUACCCAAAGAAUAAGCACCGGCUAACUUCGUG